rnacentral:tRNA from 1 species
GCAUUGAUUGUCUAGUGGUUAGGACAUUGUAUUGUGUUCGCAAUAGCCCAGGUUCGAAUCCUGGUCAUGGCA